rnacentral:rRNA from 1 species
AACGUAGGAGCCAAGCGUUAUCCGAAUUCACUGGGCGUAAAGCGCGUGCAGGCGGUCAGGUAAGUUGGAUGUGAAAUCGCCCGGCUCAACUGGGCGAGGUCGUUCAAAACUGCCUGACUGGAGGACGGUAGAGGGAGGUGGAAUUCCCGGUGUAGUGGUGAAAUGCGUAGAGAUCGGGAGGAACACCAGUGGCGAAGGCGGCCUCCUGGACCGGACCUGACGCUCAGACGCGAAAGCUAGGGGAGCGAACGGG